ACUUUAGAGGAGUUAGUGCCACAUAAAAACAUAAUUUAGGGGUGCAAACUCUAUUUUAUCAUUUAUAGAAUAAGGAGACAUUUGCAAACAAGGAACUUUUCUGAUAUUCGCCCAAACAAAUUAGUGGACUAAUUCAAAAGAUUUCUCAAAACAAAUCGCCGGCGCCGGCGACCGAGACAGCCAAGGUGAACGGCGACAGACGCGAUUUCAGAAAUUAAUCGCAACGGCACGAAUCCGUUUUCCGACAAGUGUCUCCGCCGGAAAACGUAUCGGAAAACACCGAAACUUUUCAGAAUUAAUUGGGGAAGAAGAGAGCUGAGAAACAAUGGGGAACGUUUUUGCGAAGAAACCAAAGAUCACGGAAGUGGAUAAAGCGAUCCUUUCCCUCAAAACCCAACGGCGUAAGCUUGGUCAAUAUCAGCAGCAGCUGGAGGUUGUCAUUGAAGCUGAAAAGCAAGCUGCAAAAGAUUUGCUUCGUGAAAAGAGGAAAGAUAGGGCUUUGUUAGCUUUGAAGAAGAAGAAGCUUCAAGAAGACCUAUUGAAGCAAGUCGAUGGUUGGCUUAUCAACGUAGAGCAGCAAGUACGUUUUCUUUCGAGAAAGCUU